CUAAGUUUGAUGGCGACCGGCGCACGGGUGAGUAACACGUAUCCAACCUGCCGAUGACUCGGGGAUAGCCUUUCGAAAGAAAGAUUAAUACCCGAUGGCAUAGUUCUUCCGCAUGGUAGAACUAUUAAAGAAUUUCGGUCAUCGAUGGGGAUGCGUUCAUUAGGUUGUUGGCGGGGUAACGGCCCACCAAGCCUUCGAUGGAUAGGGGUUCUGAGAGGAAGGUCCCCCACAUUGGAACUGAGACACGGUCCAAACUCCUACGGGAGGCAGCAUG
rnacentral:rRNA from 1 species